rnacentral:lncRNA from 1 species
CAGCUGGCUAACUUGUAGAGCUGGGUCCUGCCUACAAUGCCUAUAGGCACCAAGGGGAUUUCAAUCAGAGGUUUUAAAUGGUAUCACCAUCUGCUUCCCAGGCAACAAUCUUGAAUGCUGCCCGAAACGAACAGUCCUGGACUUAAAUCGUCUCUUCCCCAGGAGUGGGAUCUUAGGCAAGUCACUUCACCCUCUGAGCCUCAGUUUCCCCAUCUGUCACAUAAUCAUUCGGGCUCUGCAGCAGUGCCGUGAGGAUAAAGAGGUUAACCUGUGGGCAAGAGCUUCACAGAUGGUGUUAAUUCAGGAACACCCAACCAGAGGGACAACCUGAACUCCCUUAGCUUCAUCAAAGCAAAACUUACGGCUACAAAUCCCCUGGCAGGCAGCCGCCAGUCCUUUCUAGAAGGAGCUGUGGUGAAAGCAGCCGUGUUUUUAUCGGCAGGGCCUGCCCGCCUGAGGGGACCCAAUGAGAUCCCUUGCUUCCUUCCUGUGGCCGCUGCCCUCUCCACCUUCACUCACACACAUCUCGCCCAUGUUCCCAGGCCACACGCGGAACUGGGCUUCUCUCCCUUCCCCAGCCCCUCUCCAACGACUCUCCCAUGAGGGCUGGCUGAGCAAACUGCGCGUGAGUAGGGGAUGUCCAGGUCCACGCGUUUCUUUACCUGGGAAACCUGGACAAGCAGAGCCCUGGAGCCAGAUGGCCAGGACCCCAACCAGCCUCUUCUUUUCCAACCUCGCGACUUUGGACAAGUUACUCCCUCUCCAAGGCCUGUCGUCCUCGUCGGUAAAAAUGGAGACCCACUAAUACUCAUGUCACCGGUGGGGGUUGUGAGGAUUAAAUGAGGAUGCAUAAAAAUGAGUGGCACAGCGCCUGGCAGGGAGUAAGCUUGAAACAGAGGUCAGCAAGCGCUGGUGCAGGGCGUGAAACAAGCAGGGCGGGAAGGGCACAAAAUGCAGGGGCCCGAGAGUGAGGGCUCCUUACAGUCUGUGGCCUGGGCCCCUUUCUUACCUCGCUGAUAAUACUUGCAUGGGAAGCAGAGAUACAAAAAGCCCUAAAUCACCCAAUAUUUGCAUCAGCCUUCAGGAAAGACAGACAG